GCUGGGCGUGGUGGCGUGUGCCUGUAGUCCCAGCUACUUGGGAGGCUGAGGCUGGAGGAUCCUUGAGGCCAGUAGUUCUGGGCUGCAGUGCGCUAUACCGAUUGGGUGUCUGCACUAAGUUCGGCAUCAAUAUGGUGACCUCCCAGGAGCGGGGGACCACCAGGUUGCCUAAGGAGGGGUUCACCAGUCCAGGUCAGAAAUCCCCUUACAUGCUGCUGCUUGGUCUCCAGCCAUUGUCAUGGUUAGCCUCCACACCUGACCUUCCUGCACCUUCCUGCCACUU
rnacentral:SRP_RNA from 1 species